rnacentral:rRNA from 1 species
AUGAACGCUGGCGGCGUGCCUAAUACAUGCAAGUCGAGCGAACAGACGAGGAGCUUGCUCCUCUGACGUUAGCGGCGGACGGGUGAGUAACACGUGGAUAACCUACCUAUAAGACUGGGAUAACUUCGGGAAACCGGAGCUAAUACCGGAUAAUAUAUUGAACCGCAUGGUUCAAUAGUGAAAGACGGUUUUGCUGUCACUUAUAGAUGGAUCCGCGCCGCAUUAGCUAGUUGGUAAGGUAACGGCUUACCAAGGCAACGAUGCGUAGCCGACCUGAGAGGGUGAUCGGCCACACUGGAACUGAGACACGGUCCAGACUCCUACGGGAGGCAGCAGUAGGGAAUCUUCCGUAAUGGGCGAAAGCUUGACGGAGCAACGCCGCGUGAGUGAUGAAGGUCUUCGGAUCGUAAAACUCUGUUAUUAGGGAAGAACAAAUGUGUAAGUAACUAUGCACGUCUUGACGGUACCUAAUCAGAAAGCCACGGCUAACUACGUG